UACGUAGGGUGCAAGCGUUGUCCGGAAUUAUUGGGCGUAAAGGGCUCGUAGGCGGUUUGUCGCGUCGGCCGUGAAAUCUCCACGCUUAACGUGGAGCGUGCGGUCGAUACGGGCAGACUUGAGUUCGGUAGGGGAGACUGGAAUUCCUGGUGUAGCGGUGAAAUGCGCAGAUAUCAGGAGGAACACCGGUGGCGAAGGCGGGUCUCUGGGCCGAUACUGACGCUGAGGAGCGAAAGCGUGGGGAGCGAACAGG
rnacentral:rRNA from 1 species